AGAUGUCCUCAAUUAUUGUACCAUCAUGUCAUAGAAUAUAUGUUGUGAUUCAAAUCACAACUGCUAAAACACUUAAUAACUGAUUUCCUCUAGAUUGUAUGCUUCUGUGAGAACAGUCCUCUUGUUCCUGUUCACGUUAGCCGGUUUGUCACCAUUUAUUUAUUUGAUUUGUUUUGUUUUCCCAUUGCACAGUACUGCAGAAUUAGUUAGCACUUUGCUCUAAAAAAUAUUUAG